GUGAGUCAUCGAAUCUUUGAACGCAUCUUGCGCUCCUUGGUAUUCCGAGGAGCAUGCCUGUUUGAGUGUCAUUUAACUUCUCAACCACAUCAGAUGAUUGUGGCUUGGAUGUGGGGGUUGUUUGCAGGCUUUUUCAAUAAGGUCGGCUCCCCUGAAAUGCAUUAGUGGUAUCUGAGGCUAUUACUAAUAGGUGUGAUAAUAUAUCUAUGCCCUUUGGUAUGCUGCAUAAACAGAUUGCACUGCUUCUAACAAAGAAAAUCUUGAUGAAUUUGACCUCAAAUCAGGUAGGACUACCCGCUGAACUUAAGCAUAUCAAUAAGCGGAGG
rnacentral:rRNA from 1 species